rnacentral:rRNA from 1 species
AUACAGAGGGUGCAAGCGUUAAUCGGAUUUACUGGGCGUAAAGCGUGCGUAGGCGGUUGGGUAAGUCAGAUGUGAAAUCCCUGGGCUCAACCUAGGAACUGCAUCUGAUACUGGGUAACUAGAGUUUUGGAGAGGUAAGUGGAAUUUCCGGUGUAGCGGUGAAAUGCAUAGAGAUCGGAAGGAACACCAGUGGCGAAGGCGACUUACUGGCCAAAAACUGACGCUGAGGUGCGAAAGCGUGGGUAGCAAACAGGAUUAGAUACCCUAGUAGUCC